CUAAUGCCGGAUAUUGUGUCCUACUGCGUAGUAGGUUAACGAAAGAUUUAUCGUUGUGGGAUGAGCUUGCGUCCGAUUAGCUAGUUGGCGGGGUAAUAGCCCACCAAGGCGACGAUCGGUAGCCGGCCUGAGAGGGUGAUCGGCCACAUUGGGACUGAGAUACGGCCCAGGCUCCUACGGGAGGCAGCAGUAGGGAAUAUUGCGCAAUGGGGGGAACCCUGACGCAGCAACGCCACGUGUGGGAAGAAGCAUUUCGGUGUGUAAACCACUGUCGGAAAGGAAUAACGGAAGACUUCGGUCUUUAUGAAUGUACUUUUAGAGGAAGCACCGGCAAACUUCGUGCCAGCAGCCGCGGUAAUACGAGGGGUGCAAGCGUUGUUCGGAAUCACUGGGCGUAAAGGGAGCGUAGGCGGAAGUGCAAGCAAUCUGUAUAAUCCUGGGGCCCAACCCCAGUUCUGCAGAUUGGACUGUAUUUCUUGAAUAGUUCAGAGGCAAGCGGAAUUUCUGGUGUAGCGGUGGAAUGCGUAGAGAUCAGAAAGAACACCAAUGGCGAAGGCAGCUUGCUGGGGACUUAUUGACGCUGAGGCUCGAAAGUGUGGGUAGCAAACAGGAUUAGAUACCCUGGUAGUCCACACUGUAAACGAUGCAUACUGGGUGUCCGAAAUUCAUUUCGGGUACCGUAGCUAACGCGUUAAGUAUGCCGCCUGGGGAGUACGUACGCAAGUAUG
rnacentral:rRNA from 1 species